AAAUGGGGAGGUAGUGGAAAAUCAGGUGGACAAAUAAGGUGAGGAGAGAGAAAAAAUGGGAUGCCCCAUGAAUGGAGGUGCUCUUACUUCAGUCAUCUCCUUUCUCUCUGACUCUGUGUUUCUUUCCAGCCAAUUCUCUCUCCUCUUUCUCUUUGUUUCUCUCACUCUUUAGUCAAACUUUUUAGGGUUUGAUAUUCUGGGAAUUUUUAGACAUUCAUCAAUGGCGAAAAUUAGGGAUAUGGAUGAGGAUAUCAAGGAUGUUUUCGCUGAGUAUAAUUAGCUGAAGCCGAAUCAUUCAAUACCGAAAGCCUACCCGCCGGUGAUGGUCGAGAAGGAGAAGCUUCAACGACGUUGUUUCCCGGUUCACAGUUGGUGAUGGUGUA